rnacentral:tRNA from 1 species
GAGGGUAGAGCUCAGUGGUAGAGCAUAUGCUUAGCAUGCAUGAGAGCCUGGGUUCAAUCCCCAGUACUUAUU